UGCGUAGGUGGUUGGUUAAGUUUGAGGUGAAAGCUCCGAGCUCAACUCGAAAAAUGCCUUGAAGACUAUCUGACUAGAGGAUUGGAGGGGAGAUUGGAAUUCUCGGUGUAGCAGUGAAAUGCGUAGAUAUCGAGAGGAACACCAGUGGCGAAGGCGAAUCUCUGGACAAUUCCUGACACUGAGGCACGAAAGCCAAGGGAGCAAACG
rnacentral:rRNA from 1 species